GCAGCUCUGUUUGGCAUAAAACAGUAUCACAUAUAUCUAUUUACGGCGACAUGCACCCGCGGCGGUUCAAACGAGGCCAUCAAGGCAGAAAUCUAUGAUCCCUGGAGGGGCGAUGCACAGAGUAGGGCAAUCCAUCGGCGACCGACCAUCGUGGUAUUGAGUAUGAUGCUCCGUUCCAUUCUACGCCCAGGUAUUCGGAUUCCAUCUUUUUAUUUGCUUUCAUGCACAAAGACCACUUGAUCUUGAUAAGCUUCAGAAGAUUGCUGUAAAAACUGUACGAGUAUGUGAACGUGAGAAAUCAAGCUCUCCCAUAUGAACAUUCCUUGUACCAUUGGAUAUGACCCAGCAAGCAAUAUGAUUACCAUGCGAAUGAAGCGAAAGACAACAUUCUUGACGUUUGUGUUCAUCAAUAUCUCAACGCAUAAGUAUGUCUUAGUUUGUAACAGAUAAUUAUCAUUGAUCUCUUUAUAUACAUUGUUGAUUACAUUGCAAAUGGACUGAAAUUCAAUUUUUAUAUACAUGUCUAAUUUUGGCAUC